GUAGGGAAUAUUGGGCAAUGGAUGCAAGUCUGACCCAGCCAUCCCGCGUGCCGGAAGAAGGCCCUCAGGGUUGUAAACGGCUUUUGACGGUGAAGAAUCGACAGGAUGCGUCCUGUUUUGACGGUAGCCGUUGAAUAAGCACCGGCUAACUCCGUGCCAGCAGCCGCGGUAAUACGGAGGGUGCGAGCGUUGUCCGGAUUUAUUGGGUUUAAAGGGUGCGUAGGCUGGAAGGUCAGUCAGCGGUGAAAAGCUGUCGCUUAACGAUAGUCUUGCCGCAGAUACUUCCGUGCUUGGAUGAGGAGGAGGCCACUGGAACGGAUGGUGUAGCGGUGAAAUGCAUAGAUAUCAUCCAGAACACCGAUUGCGAAGGCAGGUGGCUGUACCUUAAUCGACGCUGAUGCACGAAAGCAUGGGGAGCAAACAGGAUUAGAUACCCUUGUAGUCC
rnacentral:rRNA from 1 species